GGUUCGAUUAUGGCUCAGAUUGAACGCUGGCGGGAUGCUACACAUGCAAGUCGAACGGCAGCACGGACUUCGGUCUGGUGGCGAGUGGCGAACAGGUGAGUAAUGUAUCGGAACGUGCCUAGUAGCGGGGGAUAACUACGCGAAAGCGUAGCUAAUACCGCAUGCGCCCUUCGGGGAAAGCGGGGGGACCUUCGGGCCUCGCACUAUUAGAGCGGCCGAUAUCGGAUUAGCUAGUUGGUGGGGUAACGGCUCACCAAGGCGACGAUCCGUAGCUGGUUUGAAGGACGACCAGCCACACUGGGACUUUGAGACACGGCCCAGACUCCUACGAGAGGCAGCAGUGGGGAAUUUUGGACAAUGGAAACCCUGAUCCAGCCAUCCCGCGUGUGCGAUGAGGCCUUCGGGUUGUAAAGCACUUUUGGCAGGAAAGAAACGGCACAGGAUAAUACCCCGUGCAACUGGCAACCUGCAGAAUAAGCACCGGCUAACUACGUGCCAGCAGCCGCGGUAAUACGUAGAGAUUUACAGAGGGGAAGCGUUAAUCGGAAUUACUGGGCGUAAAGCGUGCGCAGGCGGUUCCGGAAGAAAGAUGUGAAAUCCCAGAGCUUAACUUUGGAACUGCAUUUUAACUACCGAGCUAGAGUGUGUCAGAGAGGUGGAAUUCCGCGUGUAGCAGUGAAAUGCGUAGAUAUGCGAAGGAGGAACACCGAUGGCGAAGCAACCUCUCCUCAGGAUAACACCGACGCUCAUGCACAGCGUGGGGAGCAAACAGAGUUAAAUGCCCUGGUGAUCCACGCCCUAAACGAUGUCAACUAGCUGUUGGGGCCUUCGGGCUUGCUUGGUAGCGCAGCUAACGCGUGAAGUUGACCGCCUGGGAAAUACGGUCCGCGAGAGAUUCCAAGAAACUCAAAGGAAUUGACGGGGACCCGCACAAGCGGUGGAUGAUGUGGAUUAAUUCCGUGCAACGCGAAAACCUUACCUACCCUUGACAUGUCUGGAAUCCCGAAGAGAUUUGGGAGUGCUCGCAAGAGAACCGGAACACAGGUGCUGCAUGGCUGUCGUCAGCUCGUGUCGUGAGAUGUUGGGUUGGGAAGAAACCGCAACGAGCGCAACCCUUGUCAUUAGUUGCUACGAAGGAGCACUCUAAUGGCGAGACUGCCAGUGACAAACCGGAGAAGAGUGGGGACGAUGACGUCAAGUCCUCAUGGCCCUUAUGGGUAGGGCUUCACACAUCAUACAAUGGUCGGGACAGAGGGUCGCCAACCCGCGAGGGAGCGUGUCCCAGAAACCCGAUCGUAGUCCGGAUCAGUCUCUGACUCGACUGCGUGAAGUCGGAAUCGCUAGUAAUCGCGGAUCAGCAUGUCGCGGUGAAUACGUUCCCGGGUCUUGCUACACACUUCGCUCACACCAUGGGGUGGUUAACCGUAAGGAGGGCGAUUACCACGGUAGGAUUCAUGGCUGGGGGUGAAGUCGUAACAAAGGAGUAA
rnacentral:rRNA from 1 species